rnacentral:misc_RNA from 1 species
CGCAUAUUGCGCCCCUUGGUAUUCCGGGGGGCAUGCCUGUUCGAGCGUCAUUAUCACCCCUCAAGCCCGGCUUGUUGUUGGAUGCCGGCGGAUGCCUCUGCGCCCCGCCCGUCUCAAAGAUAAUGACGGCGUCUGUGAGGACUCCUGUACACUGAGCUUUCGGGCACGUACUAGGUCAGCUCUCCAGGCCCGGUCUUUUACGUCGCUUCGGCGACGAACUUUUCUAAGGUUGACCUCGGAUCAGGUAGGAAUACCCGCUGAACUUAA